rnacentral:rRNA from 1 species
GACAGAGGGUGCAAACGUUGCUCGGAAUUACUGGGCGUAAAGGGCGCGUAGGCGGCCUUCUAAGUCAUGCGUGAAAUCCCCGGGCUCAACCCGGGAACUGCGUCUGAUACUGGAAGGCUUGAAUCCGGGAGAGGGAUGCGGAAUUCCAGGUGUAGCGGUGAAAUGCGUAGAUAUCUGGAGGAACACCGGUGGCGAAGGCGGCAUCCUGGACCGGCAUUGACGCUGAGGCGCGAAAGCUAGGGGAGCAAACGGG